rnacentral:misc_RNA from 1 species
GAAAUGCGAUAAGUAAUGUGAAUUGCAGAAUUCAGUGAAUCAUCGAAUCUUUGAACGCACCUUGCGCUCCUUGGUAUUCCGAGGAGCAUGCCUGUUUGAGUGUCUUGAAAUCCUCAAGCCCUCGGGUUUGCGCCCGAGUGGUUUGGACUCUUGGGGGUUUUGUGCUGCCUUUCCGGCGGCUCCCCUUAAAUGCAUCGGCUGCGGUGAGCAUCGGUCAAGGCGUUGUACCUUCCUCGUCUUCGAAUCGCCGGUGCCUCUCCUCUGCGGCUUCGACCUGCCCGUUGGGUGGCGGUCAGCACUUCUAGAGAUCUGACCUCAAAUCAGGUAGGACUACCCGCUGAACUUAA